rnacentral:rRNA from 1 species
UAGGGAAUCUUCGGCAAUGGACGAAAGUCUGACCGAGCAACGCCGCGUGAGUGAAGAAGGUUUUCGGAUCGUAAAACCCUGUUGUUAGAGAAGAACAAGGACGUUAGUAACUGAACGUCCCCUGACGGUAUCUAACCAGAAAGCCACGGCUAACUACGUGCCAGCAGCCGCGGUAAUACGUAGGUGGCAAGCGUUGUCCGGAUUUAUUGGGCGUAAAGCGAGCGCAGGCGGUUUCUUAAGUCUGAUGUGAAAGCCCCCGGCUCAACCGGGGAGGGUCAUUGGAAACUGGGAGACUUGAGUGCAGAAGAGGAGAGUGGAAUUCCAUGUGUAGCGGUGAAAUGCGUAGAUGUAUGGAGGAACACCAGUGGCGAAGGCGGCUCUCUGGUCUGUAACUGACGCUGAGGCUCGAAAGCGUGGGGAGCAAACAGG